rnacentral:rRNA from 1 species
AUCUACACCGAUGAGGAGGCCUAUUGGCGCCUUCGGGGCGCACAGAAAUGGGUCUUGAAGGGAGACGCGAAUACGGCAUACUUCCAGGCUAUCGCCAAUGGCCGCCGUAGACGCAACACCAUCCCCCUUCUAUGGGAUGGGGAGCUCUCCUUCAGGACCCGCGCGACAUCCGGGCCCACGUUGACGGCUUCUAUAGGUCCCUAUUCUCUGCCGCUCCUAGGAGCGGCAUCUCUCUCGCCCCCGAUUGUUGGGCUGGUUCCCAGCUAG